rnacentral:tRNA from 1 species
GGACGCGUGGCUCAGUGGUAGAGCGUUCCGUUCACAUCGGAAAGGUCAGAGGUUCGAUCCCUCUCGCGUCCA